AAAAGUGGAUUAGCGGCGGACGGGUGAGUAACACGUGAGUAACCUGCCUUAGACAUUGGGAUAGCCUCGGGAAACCGGGAUUAAUACCAAAUAAAAUCAUAAUGACACAUGUCAUAACGAUCAAAGCUCCGGUGGUCUAAGAUGGACUCGCGUCCCAUUAGCUAGUUGGUAGAGUAAAAGCCUACCAAGGCGACGAUGGGUAGCCGGCCUGAGAGGGUGAACGGCCACAUUGGAACUGAGAAACGGUCCAA
rnacentral:rRNA from 1 species